UUGUUGGCAUCCAUACUCCUAAAG
rnacentral:piRNA from 1 species